AGAGUUUGAUCAUGGCUCAGAGUGAACGCUGGCGGCAUGCCUAACACAUGCAAGUCGAACGGUAACAGGCCCGCAAGGGUGCUGACGAGUGGCGGACGGGUGAGGAAUACAUCGGAAUUUGCCCAGUCGUGGGGGAUAACGUAGGGAAACUUACGCUAAUACCGCAUACGACCGAGAGGUGAAAGCGGGGGAUCCGUAAGGACCUCGCGCGAGUGGAUGAGCCGAUGUCGGAUUAGCUAGUUGGCGGGGUAAAGGCCCACCAAGGCGACGAUCCGUAGCUGGUCUGAGAGGAUGAUCAGCCACACUGGGACUGAGACACGGCCCAGACUCCUACGGGAGGCAGCAGUGGGGAAUAUUGGACAAUGGGGGCAACCCUGAUCCAGCAAUGCCGCGUGUGUGAAGAAGGCCUUCGGGUUGUAAAGCACUUUUAUCGGGAACGAAACAUUGUCGGUGAAUAUCCGGCAAGACUGACGGUACCCGAGGAAUAAGCACCGGCUAACUACGUGCCAGCAGCCGCGGUA
rnacentral:rRNA from 1 species